AGUGAACGCUGGCGGUAGGCCUAACACAUGCAAGUCGAACGGCAGCACAGUAAGAGCUUGCUCUUACGGGUGGCGAGUGGCGGACGGGUGAGGAAUACAUCGGAAUCUACUUUUUCGUGGGGGAUAACGUGGGGAAACUUACGCUAAUACCGCAUACGACCUACGGGUGAAAGCAGGGGAUCUUCGGACCUUGCGCGAUUGAAUGAGCCGAGGUCGGAUUAGCUAGUUGGCGGGGUAAAGGCCCACCAAGGCGACGAUCCGUAGCUGGUCUGAGAGGAUGAUCAGCCACACUGGAACUGAGACACGGUCCAGACUCCUACGGGAGGCAGCAGUGGGGAAUAUUGGACAAUGGGCGCAAGCCUGAUCCAGCCAUACCGCGUGGGUGAAGAAGGCCUUCGGGUUGUAAAGCCCUUUUGUUGGGAAAGAAAAGCAGCAGGUUAAUACCCCGCUGUUCUGACGGUACCCAAAGAAUAAGCACCGGCUAACUUCGUG
rnacentral:rRNA from 1 species